rnacentral:tRNA from 1 species
GUGAAUAUAGUUUAAAAAAAACA